rnacentral:SRP_RNA from 1 species
GCUGGGCAUGGGGGCGCAUGCCUGUAAUCCCAGCUACUUGGGAGGCUGAGGCAGGAGAAUUGCUUGAGCCUGGGAGGUGGAGGUUGCAGUGAGCUGAGAUAGUGCCACUGCACUCCAACCUGGGUAACAAAGCGAGACCCAGUCUCAA